UAUUCAUACUUGAAACUUCAAAAUGUUGAUUUUCCAUGUCUUUGCAAUCUAUUGGAAAACUAGCAGCCUGUGACCAACAGGGGAUCUCAGUAGAAAAACACUGUGCAGCUAAAUAAACAUUGAAAUAAAUGCUCUGUGAUUAGUACUUACACUUUCAGCCUAUAAUGUAUAAUUCAAGCAAAGAAAUUUCUUAAAAGUUUGAAAUUACCUUUGAAUGCGAACCAGAACUCACAAAAAGCUGUAUGGAGAAACACGAUAGGCUAGCUAUAGCAAAACAUCCCAGUAAUCUAUAUUGCUUAUCCAAAAGUUCCCCCCAUCACAUUUCCUACUUCUGUGGUCUAUAAAUUUAGAAUAGGGAAGUUCUGAUCUUCAGUCAGACCACAGCUGUUCUAAACUGCAUGUGAAAGACAGAUGAAAUCCCUUGGAAGAGCCUUCAGGAAAUGCUCAGUGAAUUCAUUCCUCUAAUUUAACUCUCUCUAUCCCAGUUAUUGAAAACUAUUUAAGUCUGUUAUAUACACAUGCACAAUUAGAAAUCUCAUGGAUUUCUGCUCCCAAGACAGGUCAAAAAAAUAGCUGACAAAGCACAGAAGAAAUACUGGGAAUUGAUUCAUUCACCGAAGAAUGAAGAUGAUUAUGUGGUAACAUCUGAUGCAGAGCUGGAUGCCAAAUUAGUGAUAAACCUAUGGACCAUGAGGUUUAGAUGCAGAUGGAAGGAAAGGCUACCAAAUCUGAGUUUGAGAAGCUGAAGGGGUGCAGGCUGGAAGGUGAACCUGCUUUAAGGCAGUCACUGUACCUGUUGUCACAUUUCCUGUCAGUCUAUCAGGUAUCUGUUCUAUCCAGACCCCUCCUGCUCACCUGCCCUUGCCAAUUCCCCAUGAUUUGAGUGUGCAUCUUCUCAUGGUAGGUAUGGACCUGACAGCUUUGUCUCCCUGCCUGCAGGAAUGACCUCUCCUGAACUGCAGUCUUGCACAUUUUACUCAUCUUUUUCAAUGAAACAGAGCAAAUGUAACUUAAGUAUUUAUAAAUUUUUUUCAACUAAAAAAAUGAAAUACGAGGAAUUCUGCAGUCUUCUGGGAAGCAACACAUAGCUAAGCCAUAAUUCCUCAUCUUCCUCCAAGUUUCUGUGCUCAUUCACCCCUGAAUAUUCCAAUUAUCCUUCUGCCCAAAAGCUACCUGCACAAGUACCUGGACAUGAGAGCUGCUAGAAGAAGUGGCUAUAAAAUGGGAUUGUAUUUUUCAAUCUUGGGAUUAAGCGCUUUUUUUAAAGUUAAUUGAAUAGGAAGCCAACUGUUUGAGAUCCACAUACUGUAGAACCAGACAGUUAAACAAAAUGCAAAUAGCAGCCAGCUUUAAACUAGUUCUAUGAAUUCUUCACCUGUAAUUCUACAAACUAGCUCAGCUCAAAUCCAAAGCCCUGGAAUAGCUUGUAGACUCCCAUCUGCAUAAUUCUGUGCCAAGGAGGCAAAUUUCUUUUAUACUAAGAGAGGCUUUCUUACAGAUACAAAGUUUCAGAAAAGGAGAUUGAUGAAUUCAGCACACUCAAGGUCAUUCCCCAUGAUCAUUUGCCAAUGUAUAUAGAAAAGCAGAACAUUUAUUCUGCUUCACCCUCACUUUUUCCUCUUUUAAAUCUCACUGAUCAUAUUGUUUAUUAAAAUUCCAUCUAUGAAAUUAUUUUUAUGGAAUUAAGAAAUAUUAUUGAUGAAAUUAGUAUAUGGCUGUACAGCAUUGUAACUUAGAAAAUGGAAUCUUCUUAAGUGUGACUAAAAUUCUGGCAUAGCAUCAUCUUCCUGAGGAAAUACAAACAGUCCUAAUGUUAUGAAGUACAACCAGAAUUUCUGUAACAGUUUCUGAACACAUUAUUGAAACUAUUUCUACAAGCAGAAACUUGACAUAAAAUCAUCAUUACACAUCAUGCACAGGAAGAAUCAAUAAAUUGGAGAGAUGUAACAAGAGGUCAUUUUGUUUCUUCUUUCUCAAGAAAGAUUUUUUCCUAGCCAUUACAAAACUCUCCCUUAAGCAAACCCAGUGAAGAAUGUGAGAGGAGAAAGAUGACAUUUCCAGAAAUAUCAGUAAGCAACAAGCACAAAAAAUAAACUACACUCUAGAAGAAUCAUAAACAGUCUGUACAUGUUUCAUUAGAAAGGAAAUAACUGCUUCCCAGAAUUUUUGAAAAAAAGCCCUCAACUAAAAAAAGAUAAUUUCUAAUCUUCUUCAACUUUCAGUCUUUCAUGUUAUUUCUUUUUCAUGUUCUGAACACACUUUUUACAGUGUGUCUAAUAUUUUACCCGGCUAACUGAAUUACCAGGAACAGGAAAGUUAACACUUAGACUAUAAUCUUUAAACCCUUGAAACACCUAAGAUACUUUUCCUGCAGAUUGAAUGUUAGAGUUUAAAGGUCCAGGACCAUGGUAAUGGGGUCACGAAUGAUGGCUCGUUAUCUUGGGCCACUCACCCACAGUGCCAAGCAGGCCCCUCUGCACACAGGACUCACACCUCCAGCCCUUAGAACUUAUUGUUUGUCCUCUGUAAGUGCAACCCCAACUCUCAGUCUGUCCUUGAAGCAUAUCAGAGGUGAGCACCCCAGCACUGGUGAUGGAGCACUAGGGUAGAGUUGGCACACACAAGAAAUUGGCUCCAUUUUCACCUGAUCCCCCUUUGGGAGGAAGGCAAAGAAAACAGUUUUGUUUUUAUUCAGAUUUCAAUAGCAGCUGUCGGAAAGCUGCUCAGCAGUUUGGAAUGUCAGAAGUAGUCCCCUUGGAGCUGGAUUAGAGGGAAAAGGGGACAGCCAAGAGCACUGAGAAGAUAGCUGUGUAACCAUGGAGUGAAACUUACUGCCUAUUCACAGACAGAAAGAACCCAUUCUCUGUCACAUGCAGCUCACCCUCAAAUCUUGCAAGCAAGACCUAAACUAAACCUAUUCCUUAGGCUUGUCUAAUCUAUUUUCAUUAAAUAACUGUAUAAGAUGUACUGGGACAAGAACUCUAAAAAUAAAUCUGCCAGUCUUAUUGGAAGGGAAGCUACAAUGCCUGCAAGCCAACAAAAAUAACAAUUUUUCAUUCUACUCACAGUUCAGGAAAAAUAUUAAUGUUUGCCAAAAAAAAAAAAAAAAAGAAGACAAAACUGAUGGGAACGGAAAAUAUUUUCAUGCUGAAAGAGGAUAUUACAAACAAUGGAGACUUAAAGUCAAAUGUCUCUCUAUCCUUUUUAAAGGAACUUUCUGAAAUACAACACCCAAUUUUUGCAAGAAUGAUGUAACCUUUAAACAAUACUACUUUGUCAUCUAACUUUCAUAUAUAACUAUUUAACAAAUUAUGAUGGAGCUGACCCACUGAUGCCUACAUAUUUGAAAAUUUCUUCUGGCCUCCUGGCUUUAAUUUUCAGUCCUUUCAGCAGUACUGAAAAAAACUGAAAAAGAGCUGAAAAUCUCAGGCCUACUUUUAUUUUAGAAGUUAUUCCAGAAGUUCAGAAUACAGAAGUUCAAUGAAGAAACAAUGUGUAGAUAACCAAGCUUGAUGAUUCUCAGAUUUAAGCCCAGAAAAUGGUUAAAAAAAAAAAAACAACCAAGAAAAAUUGCCUAUAACACCUGAACUCAAAACUACUUUUUGACAUUUCUUACUUUUAUUCUUCGAAGAGAGGGUAGGUGGAAGAGCUUUUUCAUGAGAUCAGCCUAGAUAUAUACCCUAGGGCUGAUCUAGACAACACCUGGAAGUAUAUGCAGAAGCAUCACUGGUUUGAGGUCACUUGGUCUGUUCAGUCUGGAGAAGAGGAGGCUGAGGAGAGACCUCACUGCAGUCACAACUUCCUUGUGAGGGAAAGAGCAGGGGCAGGCACUGAUCUCUUCCUUCUGGUGACCAGUGACAGGAACAGAGGGAGUGGCCUGAAGUUGGGUCAGGGGAAGUUUAGGUUGGAUACUAGAAAAAGGGUCUUCACCCAGAGGGUGGCGGGGCACUGGAACAGGCUCCCCAGGGAAGUGGUCUCAGCACCAAGCCUGACAGAGUUCAGGAAGCAUUUGAACAAUGCUGUCAGGUACAGAAUGUGACUCUUGGGGAUGGUUCUGUGCAUGGCCAGGAGUUGAACUCAGUGAUCCUUAUGGUCCCUUCCAACUCAGCUUACUCUGUGAUUCUGUAUCAACUAUCAUUCCUCUCCUCUAGCUGAUUUGAAAAACCCAACCAUUCUGUACUGAAACAUGAUAACAACAACAUUAAUAUUUUCCACACAAAGCUCUGCAAGAGGAAAAGGAGGAGGGAGUGUUUCAGCUUGAAAGACCAGGAGUCACCCAGCCUAAGACAGUAGUGCACAUUUUCAAUGCUUCCCAGUCAGAGGCACGUCCAUGAUAAUCCAGAAAUGAGAGGAACAGCUGGCUAAUUAAUACACUAGCCACAUGCAAUGUUAGGAUGAAUCAAUCCAGCUACAGCUUCAAAAGUCCCAACACAUCUACAGAGAGGAAAAGCUUUGCUCUGCCUUCUUAUAGUGACCAACAAACUUCUAUGUCACCUGCAGAAUCAGUAACUCCAAAGCAUGAAAAAAUUUCUACAGACCCUGGACUUUCAAAUGAGAACAUGCACUCAUUUAAGAAAUGCCAGUUGAAAUCUAGAAGCAACCAAAUGAAAAUUUCACUUAUAGAAAUGAAUUUUUCAUCUUGAAAGUAGGUUAUGAUAGAGUUAUCUGAAUAAGUUUACACAUAAAGACAUUACAUUCCACUGUCCUACUUUACAUAUUUCUAAGUUUUACAGGAGAGAAGACAACUAGAAAACUAAAGGAAGUAAAAUUCUGUUGUGUUUUGGCAAUUAGAAAAUUGAAAGAAUACAAUUAGUCAAUUCUCAAUAUAUCAGGUUAAUAUUCUGGGAAUCUGGAUCCCUUACUAAGUCCUGAUUUGUUCAGCAUUGAAGACAUCAGCCAGAAAACUGAAAAUACAUUAAGGAUUGGGUUUAGAAUUUCAUAGUUUGAAUGCACACUCUUCAAACAUACUCUUUAAAGUACUCAGCCAAGUUGCUUUUUCUUAACAAAGAAAACAAGAAUCAGAAAUAGGCUUGGACUGAGUAGAUUAAACUGAAUUCUUGUAGACUUUCCAGUAAAUCCCUUAAAUUUUUUUUUGUUUUGAAAUUUAGGUGCAAUUGUCUUGUAUGCAAUAAAUACAGUUCUCAUGUUCCUCAAAUCUGUAUUACUACUCCAGCUAAAAAAAUAAAGUAAGAACCACCAUCUCUAAUUCUUACAAUAAUCAUAGGUCUUGUAAAGCAUGCUUUGUAAUGUAAAAUAUGUAGUGUUCAGCACUACAAUAAAAUCAGAAAGGAAUAAUAGCUGAUGCAGUUAAUAAUAUCUACUGGAGCAUUAUUUCCUUAAGCUGCUCAAAGGAAAGACAAAAUUUAAACAACUGGAAUAAGUACUAAUUUAUAAUAACUGAGUCACCACAGGGCAGCUGUGCCUUGUACUGAAUCUAAUAGCUCCUAUUUUAUAGCAUUUUAAUCUUGUAGUUGACAUCCAAUUCACUGCUUCCCAAGAAGUUUUUAGCAAAAGUGACAACAUCUGAAUUUGCAAUAGAAAAAUGAAUAUGACCUCUUGUCCUGUGGAUCUUUUAGGCUCCCACAAACUCAUUUUUCUCUCCUUGAGAGGUCAAUCACACUUGGCACUUCCCAUUGCAAGCACCACACUACAAUGUUAGCCAGCACUUUUGGCUCAGGGAGAGAAUUUGUUCUUUACUUUGCAUGCUCUAAGUCCUCUACUACCAGAAAAUGUGCCAGUAAGAGAAGGGGAAAAAAGUAACGUAAACACUCCUACCAAAUAGCAUUUGACACCGGCUGUACCCAGUCUCAUGAAAUGGAACUCAGGCUGAAGGAUGGAGAAAACUUUCAAGCAGAUUGCCUUCUAUUGGAUUAUGAAAUACUUCUUGCAAGAAACACCAAGCUUGUACUUUAUUAGGAUCCCAAUUCUAGGUGAUCUAAAACAGUCUUUGAGUUGCAUUCAGUGUAUGAAGUGACUACCACUUCAUUGCAUGGACCAAUCAAUUCAAGUUAGGUCAGCACUUCUAGUGUGUUGAGACAAGAAUAUACUUCAAUUACUUUUUUUGUCUACAGAUAUAUCCUGAGGUCAAUUAAAAUAUUUUAUUAUUUAAAAAGGUCUUAUUUUAUUUAACAACAAACAUUAUCUUAUAUUUUUUUUCUUAGCUGUCCAGAAUAGUAUCAUAACUGUAUCAACAUGGUUCAGUAUUUUUGCAGAUCUGGAUCUCCUUUCAAAUCCAGAUGCCACUGGAUAUUCAGUGAACUGCUUAAUAUUUAGACAGUUACCCUAUGGGCAGAUAUUGACAGUAUUGUAUUACAAUGGUCUUUAAAACAGACUCAUUUCAUUUUACUAUUACAAAUGGGUUUAACAUCCUGCUACAGACAAAUACCAUCAUCUGGUGUGAUGGUGAACAUUUAAGUUCCAAGAAGAACAGCAUUAAAAGGAUCCUACUAUGAGUUUUAAGAGAAAAAUUGGUCUCAAACACCUUAGGUUUGGGACAUUUUGGAGCUGUUUGAAAGCCUAUUAAGCUGGUAUGGUUCAAUGCACAUAAGAUUUGGUUUGUGAUGCAUCACAGAGGAUAAAAAGCGGGGGGGAACUAGAUCUAGCUAAUUAUUUUUUAUCCCAUGGCCUUCCAAAAAUAAAAUCCCUGGGGUUAUGAGGCAAAUAGUAAUUCCAGGAAAAUACUCCAGGGCAUACAAAGGAUUCUUUUUAAUUGUUCUAUCUUCAAGGAAACCACGUGCUUAAGAUUGACACCUGAGACAGCAAAGCUGUAUUUGGGACAUAAAAGCGAUGUGACGAUGGUAUCAUUUCCCAACCCUGAGAAAGCCAUGAAUUUUGAUUUUUCAUAGAAUCAUGUAACAGCUUUGGUUGGAAGGGACCUUAAAGAUCAUCUUGUUCCAACCCCCCUGCAGUGGGCAAGGACACCUUUCAUGAGACAAGGCUGCUCAAAGCCCUGUCCAAUCAGACUUCCAGGGAUGGGGCAUCCACAGCUUCUCUGGGCACUUUGAAAGCUUUGGAAGGUCCUGUGACGUUGCAGACAGCAGAACAAUUCCAAAGACUAAAACCUUGCAAAAGCACAAAAGAUUUGGGCUAGGCCAGGAUGUACCCUUCUUUAUUAAUUUGUCCAGUACAAGAUGUUGUAGGUCAAGUUCUGUCCUAACUUGUAAUUAACUUCAGAAAUUUGAAAAGAUGAUGGGCAAAGAGAACACAUUCUUACCUGCUGCCUGCCUGACACACACAACCAGAUUAAUUCUGGCAGUGCUCACUGUUCAGCUACUUGCAGUGGACACCAACUGGGAGAAAACAGAGAAACCUCCCUAACAGCCAUUUCAAUCAGCAGUGAAAUUAGUGUUUACAGUGGUCAGCUACACAUCUGUAGUUGGAAUAGACAUCCACAACAAACCGUGCAAACAGUUUCUUAAUCAACAGCUUAAUUACAGCAGUUACAUCCUCAUUCUCCUAAGUGUAGGAAUUAAUGAACAGUGUUCCACUUUGCUUGCAGUAAUGAGGUUUUAAUCUACUACUAAAUCUUUUCUUUACUACAAGCAAUGUCACCACAGUGUGAAAUUGCUACUGACACCACAGACAUGCUCCUAUGUCAAUGCAAGCAUCAGUUAUAGGGCCAUGGCCCAGUUUACUUGAAACAAGAGUUCUAUAAACAGCCAGUGCAGGAGGAGAUGAAUCAGGCUUGUUUGGCAGGAGUAAGACUUGACAAAAAGUACAUGCAGUAGUGAUGAAUCCAGCCUAUUUCAAGUGUGGGAGAACUUCACCUAAAUUAUCUCCUCCAUCCUAUUCUAACUUAUGUCUGCACUACACAGCACCUAACCAGGACAUGUCUGGCAAUGAACAGUGCUUCUGUAAAUGCUGAACACAGAUGAAAUAGUGUUAGACAGCAGCACUUCAAAAGUUUUGAAGUCUGGGCAGGAUCACUAUCUUGUACAAUUUCCAAAUGGUGAAUGAAGAGCCAGGAAAAGUACAGCAAGCAAAUAUGAUGAAAACAAGAAGCCUUGGCUUACAACUUCUAUAGUAAUUUGCUAUGCAGUCAGAUCUAACCCCAAGAAAAAACUGAGAUACCUGAGAAAUCCUCCUAGCAGUCUCCUGCCUGAUUAUCUCGUAUAGUCUGAAGGAAAAAAAAAAAAAAAAAAAAAAAGAGCAGCUAUUUAACUGAGGAACAUAACUGCUUAUGAAAACAGUGAAUAAAGAAUUGGAAGAUGGUCAUUGCUCACCACAAAGAUGCUCUUUCCAUUCUCUUUGUCUUCACAGAUGAUCUUCAUCAGCAUCUUAAUGUGUCUGGUAGUUUUCCUGUAUGUAAUGCAAGGUGUGAAGGUAUUUUAAACACUAGACAUUUACAGUAAAAUCAUCCUUACAUGCAUAAAAACAGAAAUACUGGAUUUGUAAUCAAUAGUGAAGAAAUAGUUUAAUAAAGAAUGAGGCCACAGCCUAUUUAAUAAAGAACCAGAUCCUGUUCAUCUGGAGACAGGCAAACAUCCACAGACAACUGAACAGUACAAGAGACUAAAAUCUGAGAAAGCAUUAAAUUCUCUAGACUUCACUGGCUGUAAAUUACUCUUUUAUAUUUCAGCCAAGCAUGUUCCUAUUUGGAUGCAAAUUGACCCAUGGUCUCUGUCUGUGAAAUGCACAAUAUUGGAAACUUGAUGUUGAUGUCAUAUUUAUUGUCCCAAACUUUUCCACCACUGAAAAAUCACAAGCUAGCUCUGCCUUGAGGGAUACACACUAGUAAUCCUUCAGUUCUUCAAGAUUCUAAGAAAUCUAUCUAUCCAUUCUGAAAUGAAAUAUAGCUGACAAUGAUUUUUCAAAAGGGGAAUUGCUCCAAGCUUUUUAGACAAAUUAGACCUAAAUUUAAUAUAAGAGCUAGCAAAAAACCCCAAACCCAAUAAUUUAUCUAGUUUACCACUUCUAGUUUAAAGAAGUUUUGGCUCCAAAUGCUGCUCAUGAAAAAAGAUGCUUGUUUUGAGUAAACAGACAGAUGUAGAAUAUGGCACUAUUUCAACAAUCAGCCUAAGCAGCCUCCUCAGGUAGGUUUCAGCAGUUGCAUUCUACUGAACAGCAGAAUGAACCUAUCAGCAGGAAUCCAGGGCUUUUCCUCAGUCCUGUUAUCACAAUUUCACUCCCAGGAGAACACAUGCUGAGUCCUUCUGUUUCCAAAACCCAGGACUUUAUGCACCUUCCCGUAAAGGUGGAAUUGUAGUGUCUUCAGGAACUGACCAAACUUACUGAAGACGAAGACAGGGAAAGGCAGAAUUUUCAGGACUGUUCUCCAGGAUGCACUGGAGGAAUGAGGGUAUGAAUUAAACAAAUAUUUCCAUUCUGAUGAUUUUUUUCCAAAAGGGUUUAAAAAAUGCUUAUUUUAUUUGUAGUAAAUGCCCCCUACCCUCAGGGGAAAUGCUUAGGUAAAUCUCCAGACUGUGCGAACACAAAAAUCCCCUGCUACUAAAAAUAAAUCCAAGAUAAGCCCAUAGUUUGAAGUGACAACUUUUUAUUUUAGGCAAAAACAGAAAAAAAAAAGGCCAAAAACAUUCCGCUAUUGCAGUUUGUAAAAUUUUCACUGUUUUCAGUAGAAACAGUUCACAAGUCAGAACGCAAUAUUCAAAUAACAUUGUGCAAAAUUGUACUGGCAUAACUACACAUAGCAAAAAGACUAGUGUAAAUCAAGAAUUCCAUUGAAAUUAGUUGAGCUGCUCCAGUUUUACAACAGUGUACAUCACCUUAGAAUAGGCCCUUUUUUACAGAACAUCCCUGGAAUUCCUCUUGCUUACAAGAAUUGCUUUACAUGCAACAAGUAACCUAUCAGUACAACAUAAGCAAGAACAUCUCCACAAGUUAUCACAGUGUAACAGAGGAAAACAUGUCAGCCAAUUUCAUACAAAGGCAAAUCUAAUGGCAGUUUUGAACAUCCCUUGACUGCUACUCUCAAAAAUUGCACAUUUCAAUAUAAGAAAUAAUUUAGAAUGAAGCCAAGCUAUGUUCUUAACUAUCAGUACAUUGACAAUUAGGAUGGAUGAUGAGGUUUGUUUUCUUUCUUUAGCUUAGCAGAUUUUCCAAAGAGUGUUGUUCCAAAAGUUUGUAUAAUAAAUGUUAAUUUGCAGUGUUAUCAGGCCAAGUCCUCUUCUGCUAUAGACCUGUCAACACUACAGAAGUCUCUGUAGUCAAAUACAAAUCCCAAUGAAGAACUAUUAAACACAGACCAUACCUUAAGUAUUUACUGAUGACAUGCAAUGAAACCAAGCAAGCAGUAACCGGACUCCAUUUCCAUUUGGAGCAUUCAGAAAGAGCCGGCUGUAGUUCAGCUGGGGUACAGGACUGGAAUUUCACAGAACACUUGUGAGUAGUUAACAUUCUCCCCCGACUUGACAUGCAAAGUAACAGUUUCCAGAUAAUGUAUAUAAGUCAUUCUUUGUAUAAACAGAACACUAAGAGUUGAACUGAUUUUCAGAGAUGCUGAAUGCUUACAAACUCGCAUCAAGAAAAUACACAGGUACAUCUUGCAGUGAUUGGUAACUUUGUUUUCCUGUACACCCAUUUUUCCAAAUAUGGGUAUACAA